rnacentral:rRNA from 1 species
GAUGAACGCUGGCGGCGUGCCUAAUACAUGCAAGUCGAGCGAACGGACGAGAAGCUUGCUUUUCUGAUGUUAGCGGCGGACGGGUGAGUAACACGUGGAUAACCUACCUAUAAGACUGGGAUAACUUCGGGAAACCGGAGCUAAUACCGGAUAAUAUUUUGAACCGCAUGGUUCAAAAGUGAAAGACGGUCUUGCUGUCACUUAUAGAUGGAUCCGCGCUGCAUUAGCUAGUUGGUAAGGUAACGGCUUACCAAGGCAACGAUGCAUAGCCGACCUGAGAGGGUGAUCGGCCACACUGGAACUGAGACACGGUCCAGACUCCUACGGGGGGCAGCAGUAGGGAAUCUUCCGCAAUGGGCGAAAGCCUGACGGAGCAACGCCGCGUGAGUGAUGAAGGUCUUCGGAUCGUAAAACUCUGUUAUUAGGGAAGAACAUAUGUGUAAGUAACUGUGCACAUCUUGACAGUACCUAAUCAGAAAGCCACGGCUAACUACGUG